rnacentral:rRNA from 1 species
UACAGAGGGGGCGAGCGUUGUUCGGAAUUACUGGGCGUAAAGAGCUCGUAGGCGGCUUGUCAAGUCGGGUGUGAAACCUCCAGGCUCAACCUGGAGACGCCACUCGAGACUGUCAUGGCUAGAGUCCGGUAGGGGAUCACGGAAUUCCUGGUGUAGCGGUGAAAUGCGCAGAUAUCAGGAGGAACACCGAUGGCGAAGGCAGUGAUCUGGGCAUUAACUGACGCUGAGGAGCGAAAGCAUGGGGAGCGAACAGG